CCUACGCGUGGCAGCAGUGGGGAAUCUUCCGCAAUGGGCGAAAGCCUGACGGAGCAACGCCGCGUGAGGGAUGACGGCCUUCGGGUUGUAAAACUCUGUGAUCCGGGACGAAAAGGCAGAGUGCGAAGAACAAACUGCAUUGACGGUACCGGAAAAGAAAGCCACGGCUAACUACGUGCCAGCAGCCGCGGUAAUACGAAGGUGGCAAACGUUGUCCGGAAUUAUUGGGCGUAAAGCGCGCGCAGGCGGCUUCCCAAGUCCCUCUUAAAAGUGCGGGGCUUAACACCGUGAUGGGAAGGAAACUGGGAAGCUGGAGUAUCGGAGAGGAAAGUGGAAUUCCUAGUGGAGCGGUGAAGUGCGUAGAGAUUAGGAAGAACACCGGUGGCGAAGGCGACUUUCUGGACGAAAACUGACGCUGAGGCGCGAAAGCGUGGGGAGCAAACAGGAUUAGAUACCCUUGUAGUC
rnacentral:rRNA from 1 species